rnacentral:rRNA from 1 species
UACAGAGGUCUCAAGCGUUGUUCGGAUUCAUUGGGCGUAAAGGGUGCGUAGGUGGCGGGGUAAGUCAGGUGUGAAAUCUCGGGGCUCACCCCGAAACUGCACUUGAUACUGCCUUGCUCGAGUACUGGAGAGGAGAUUGGAAUUUACGGUGUAGCAGUGAAAUGCGUAGAUAUCGUAAGGAAGACCAGUGGCGAAGGCGAAUCUCUGGACAGUUACUGACACUGAGGCACGAAGGCCAGGGGAGCAAACGGG